GCAGGGGAUCUGUUGUAACUGCAGUGGGAUUUCUCCAGAAGCAAGAGAUAUCCCUACUACACGAGCACAUUGUUUCAUAGAGCACAGGACGUGAGCACCAUUCUUUUCAAUGUCAGUAAAUGGGCUUCUUAACAUUUUCCUUUAUGUUAGUAGGUUAAGCUCUUCAAAGUACUUGCUACUCUCACUGUAAGACAACAUCAGCUCCAUGUGUAGAAAUGGCAGUGAUGUCACCAUGCUCAGAGAUUCAUUGAACACCUGAAAUGGAUUAUGACCAGGUUAAUGGAUCAAGUUAUGGAAAGAAACUGUACUCUGAAGUGUAGAGGUGAAAAGAAGGACAAGGGGACAAUGAGAAGAGUUGUUAUCAGACCUUGUCAGCUGUGACUUUUUCCUCAUGACCAUUGCCUCUUGAGUGUGCACUACCUGCUGUGAUUCAUGUACAGUACUGGGCUUCCAUAGGUAAUUCGGGGAUGGACUCUGUGAACAAAUAAUAUAAGCUAUGUUCUCUUACAAAGAAAAUCAACAUAUUACUCAGAUUUGAUAAACUUUUCAAUAAAUACCAUUUCACCUGAAUGGACACACUGUACAUGCUGCUUAAGCAAGUUUUGCAUUCACACAUUGAAAACUCUACCAGCCAAUAGCUCCACAUCUGUGCUUUCUCAGGGGAACACAUCAGGAGUGCCGCAGGGUUCUGUUCAGGGCAGUAUUAUGACAAGAAGUGCACUAGUAAGAGACUUUAUUUAAAUUGCAAGCUUUGAAACAGAUCAGAGACUGACUUUUGUUAGGUGGAUUCAUUAUCUAACACAAGAUAAUUUGCAGAUUAAGUUCAUGUUCCUAUGUACAGAUCUGAAAGCAAUACAAUAAAGAUUGACCUUUUCCAUGAAA